GCGUUAACGAACGAGACCUUAUCCUGCUAAAUAGUCCUGUGAACACUUGUUCACAGUCUGACUUCUUAGAGGGACUUUCGGCGACUAGCCGAAGGAAGUUUGAGGCAAUAACAGGUCUGUGAUGCCCUUAGAUGUCCUGGGCUGCACGCGCGCUACACUGACGAAGCCAGCGAGUUUAUAACCUUGGCCGGAAGGUCUGGGUAAUCUUGUGAAACUUCGUCGUGCUGGGGAUAGACCAUUGCAAUUAUUGGUCUUCAACGAGGAAUUCCUAGUAAGCGUGAGUCAUCAGCUCGCGUUGAUUACGUCCCUGCCCUUUGUACACACCGCCCGUCGCUAAUACCGAUUGAAUGGAUA
rnacentral:rRNA from 1 species